rnacentral:tRNA from 1 species
GCGCCGAUGGUCUAGCGGUUAUGACUUGGGCCUUCCAAGCAUCCCGAAGAAAGCCUACAACCCGGGUUCGAAUCCCGGUCGGCGCA